UGAGGAAAUUUUGUAUGGAAAUCGUUGCUGUUAUGCGCGUGUUGAAUUUGUUUGAAGGAUUUGAAUAUGGGAAGAUGAAGAUGAUUAUGGUGAUGAUUCAGUGUUGAUGAAUCGUAUGAAGCAGGUGAGGAUUCUGAAGGUUGAAGAAAGGGAGAAAGAAUUGGUGAAGAAGAUUGAAGAAAAUUAUGGAGAUUCCCAGGUUCAGAGAUUUGGAGAUUCGGAGAAGAAGGUUGAAGGAGCGUUCCGAGUUUGUUACGAUUUUUUUUUGGUGAGUUUCUAUUCUGUUCAAUCUCUUUUUCUGUUAUUCUUUUUUUGAUGAUUCUGUUAUGAUUACUGUUGCCUUUUUGUUGCAUUUUCAUGGUGAUUGAAUUGGAGAGGUGAAAAAGAUUGAAUGUUGAAGAAUUGAUGGAGAAGGUUAUGGUGAUGGUUGAAGAAUUGAUAAAGAUUAUGGUGAAGGUUGAAUCGAUGAAGGUUGAAUCGAUGAAGAAGGUGAAGAUGCAGAGAUUCUGCGUUUUUUGUGAGUUCAAUGGAGAGGAAUUGAAGGUGCUGAAAAAGGUGAAUCGAGGGAGAGAGAUGAAGUUUGUUGCCAGUUUGUGAAUUCUGUUAUGUGCUGAGUUUUUUUUCCAUGAAUUUCUGUUACUCAACUCUUUUUCUCCUUUUGUGAACCGGUUCAGUCCUUUUCUUCUUCCAGUUGUUUCCGAUUUCAGCCGCUUUCAUAUCACUGAUUAGCUUUUUCUUCGAACCGGUUUCCGUUUGGUUUAUAUUUCUGAACUGUUUUAUUUUCCUGGACUGAGUCGACUUGAAUCGGUUUCAUUAUGCAGGUGAAGGCUGUAGGUCAGUUUAUUUGUUGCAGCUACGGUUUGUUGGAGUUCCAUUGCAAAUUGGCUGCCUUUGUGUUGUUGUAACAAGGAUGAUAUUGUAGUUGGAUAUGAUUUUUUUGUAUAAUUUUUGUGAUUGAAUUUUUGUAAUUUUGUAUGAAAUGGGCUUUAGAUUUUGGGUGUAAAGUCUCUUUUUUUUUUUGUAAUGAGUAUUGAAUUUUUUAUGGGCCUUUUGUAAUAGAGUUUGUAACUCAACUUUUUUUUUUUGUAAUGAUACAUGAAUACACCCUCCAUUCUUGUAUGAAUACACUCUCCAUCCUUGUAUGCUACAAACAAUUUUGAUCCAAUCCUAAACAAUAAAGCAUUUUGAACUUAAAUCAUCA